AGUAUAUAUUUCCGGUCAAGAAACUAAGGGCGCAAGGCGGAUGCCUUGGCACCAGGAGGCGAAGAAGGACGUGACAAGCAACGAAAACCUCGAAUAGGAGCAAAUAUCCAGUAACUCGGGGGAAUCCAAAUGGGGAAACCUACUAGACACACUCUAGUAUCCAUACGUAAAUACAUAGCGUAUGGAGGCGAAUGUUCUGAACUGAAACAUCUAAGUAGGAACAAGAAAAGAAAGAAAACUCGAUUCUCCAAGUAGCGGCGAGCGAACAGAGA
rnacentral:rRNA from 1 species